rnacentral:RNase_P_RNA from 1 species
CGCGGCCGCUGUGACGAUCGCGCCCGGAGCAAUCCGGGUGAGGAAAGUCCGAACUGCGGGAGGGAGGCGCCGUUCAUCACGGCACGCCCUCUUUUAGGGCCCGGUGCUUGAUAACGUCAAGGCGGAGCAAUCCGACGGAAAGUGCAACAGAAAGGAUACCGCCUCAGCGGCAACGCUGGGGUAAGGGUGAAAUGGUGCGGUAAGAGCGCACCGCGCCGAGGGUGACUUCGGCGGCCAGGUAAACCCCACCGGCAGCAAGGCCAAAUAAGCGGAGAGUUGCGGCCCGCAACAUGUUGUUUGCAGUGUGGAAACGCCCUGCAACACAGCGCAUCCGCGGGUAGGCUGCUUGAGCCGAUUGGUGACAAUCGGCCCAGAGAAAUGAUCGUCGCAGUCAGUGAGAAAAUCGCUGCUGCAACAGAACUCGGCUUACACGCGACCGCGACCA